rnacentral:rRNA from 1 species
AGAGUUUGAUCCUGGCUCAGAGCGAACGCUGGCGGCAGGCCUAACACAUGCAAGUCGAACGGGCACCUUCGGGUGUCAGUGGCAGACGGGUGAGUAACGCGUGGGAACGUGCCCAUCGGUUCGGGAUAACCCAGGGAAACUUGGGCUAAUACCGGAUACGCCCUUUUGGGGAAAGAUUUAUUGCCGAUGGAUCGGCCCGCGUCUGAUUAGCUAGUUGGUGAGGUAACGGCUCACCAAGGCGACGAUCAGUAGCUGGUCUGAGAGGAUGAUCAGCCACACUGGGACUGAGACACGGCCCAGACUCCUACGGGAGGCAGCAGUGGGGAAUAUUGGACAAUGGGCGCAAGCCUGAUCCAGCCAUGCCGCGUGAGUGAUGGAGGCCUUAGGGUUGUAAAGCUCUUUCACCCACGACGAUAAUGACGGUAGUGGGAGAAGAAGCCCCGGCUAACUUCGUGCCAGCAGCCGCGGUAAUACGAAGGGGGCUAGCGUUGCUCGGAAUCACUGGGCGUAAAGGGCGCGUAGGCGGCCGAUCAAGUCAGGGGUGAAAGCCUGUGGCUCAACCACAGAAUUGCCUUUGAUACUGUUUGGCUCGAGACCGGAAGAGGUUGGUGGAACUGCGAGUGUAGAGGUGAAAUUCGUAGAUAUUCGCAAGAACACCAGUGGCGAAGGCGGCCAACUGGUCCGGUUCUGACGCUGAGGCGCGAAAGCGUGGGGAGCAAACAGGAUUAGAUACCCUAGUAGUCC